ACAUAGCCUUUGGAAUUGGUUUCAUCAGCUUUGAGCUCCUAAGUAGCUGGGGAAUCCUCUGCACUAAAAUAACUCCUGGUCUCCAUGAGGACAAAAGCUUCUUAGUGAGCAGAAUCAACUGAAAAGCAAGAGAGAGCAGCAUGAUACACUUCAAUCAAGAAACGAGUGGCUUUUUUAGAGAAGAGGGUUUCUAAAGAUCGAGACAAGGAGCCACAUGUGAAAAAACCCGAAGUGCUGCAAAUAGGGAACUGCACAAUAUGGCACAGUCUUUGUGCAUUAGGUUGGCUUCUUCAGAGGGAAUCUCCAAGCCUACAUGAAAAUCUGAAAGAAGAUAAAUUGGAACCCGUAAAAAGUAAGGUUGUUUGCAUCAAUCUUCUUAAGAAGUAAUGCAUGAUUGUCGCCCAGAUCCCUGGAGCAAAGGACCCUUGCAAUCACUUCAAAUGGAAAAUGGAAUAAGAUGACGCUCACCGUUCUUAGGAUCCAGACUAAAAUGGAAAGGAAGAGUUAAUGUUGUAUUUUAAGAUGACGAGUUGCUGCAAAGGACAACUUUACAUUUCAGGUGAAUCUGCUCCAAGAUGAGAUGUAUGACUAUUCCUCCCAAGCUGAAAAUUCUGUGAACAAAUAAAAUGCUGCUGUGAGACCUUCUGAGCUUAUCGAUGACAAAUGACAUACCUGUCACAGCGAUGUUUAAUUUCCAGUGACUGCUGGGAAGAAUCACAUCAUUCCAAUAUCUGUUUGUUUUUUCACUUCAAAUUAGUAUCCAUGGGAAGCUAAAUAAAUUGUAAUGACACUAUUGGAAAAAAUAUAAUUGUGGAAAAAGACUUUGGUAUUCAAAAACCAAUAUCCUAAACUGAAAAAUGGGUUUAUAUUUGAACAAAUGCCAUAUGCAGUUAUUUCAAUAUUUCCUUUUCUGGUAUGCAAAUGUAUUUUCAAUAUUAUUGUAUUUUCUUUCACAUUAACACUACAGAAUGGGUUCUUGCUUAUAUUUGCUAGUAAGUCGAUCUCUCUAUCAGACAUCAAGUGAUGACCUCUUCUGACCCAAAGAUUUAUCAAGUCAGCAGUGUAUUCCCUGAGGCCACCAUCUUCAGCCUCUUCCUCUGGCAGUCACGUCUAUUGAAGGGCUUUGCCAAUCCUCAUGAGAAAAUGGGCUAAUCUACUUGUUUCAAAGGAACAGGAAGAACACCUUUUCAGAUUGUGCUUUGUUUGUGGAGCGAGGAAGUUAAUAAAGAAAAAAACAUUCACCUA